rnacentral:rRNA from 1 species
GUAGGGAAUAUUGGACAAUGGGGGCAACCCUGAUCCAGCGACGCCGCGUGAGUGAUGAAGGCCUUCGGGUCGUAAAGCUCUGUUGCAGGGGAAGAACACAAUGACGGUACCCUGCUAGAAAGGAUCGGCUAACUUCGUGCCAGCAGCCGCGGUAAGACGAGGGAUCCUAGCGUUGUUCGGAAUUAUUGGGCGUAAAGCGGGUGCAGGUGGCUUGGUAAGUCAGAUGUGAAAGCCUGGGGCUUAACCCCAGAAGUGCAUUUGAUACUGCUGAGCUUGAGUGCUGGAGAGGCUAUUAGAAUUCCUGGUGUAGUGGUGAAAUACGUAGAUAUCAGGAGGAAUACCGGAGGCGAAGGCGGAUAGCUGGCCAGACACUGACACUCAGACCCGAAAGCGUGGGGAUCAAACAGGAUUAGAUACUCCAGUAGUCC